GUCCACGCCCUAAACGAUGAAUACUCGGUGUUGGGUCGCAAGACUCAGCGCCUAAGCUAACGCAUUAAGUAUUCCACCUGGGAAGUACGAUCGCAAGGUUGAAACUCAAAGGAAUUGACGGGGCCCGCACAAGCAGUGGAGCAUGUGGUUUAAUUCGAUGCAACGCGAAGAACCUUACCUGGGCUUGAAAGGCAAGAUUAUAAUCCCUGAAAGGGGGUUACCCGCAAGGGGUCUUGUACAGGUGCUGCAUGGCUGUCGU
rnacentral:rRNA from 1 species